UACGAAGGGAGCUAGCGUUGUUCGGAAUCACUGGGCGUAAAGCGCACGUAGGCGGAUGUGUCAGUCAGGGGUGAAAUCCCGGAGCUCAACUUCGGAACUGCCUUUGAUACAGCACGUCUUGAGUCCGAUAGAGGUGGGUGGAAUUCCUAGUGUAGGAGGUGAAAUUCGUAGAUAUUAGGAAGAACACCGGUGGCGAAGGCGGCUCACUGGCCCGGUACUGACGCUGAGGUGCGAAAGCGUGGGGAGCAAACAGGG
rnacentral:rRNA from 1 species